CACCAUAUGUCCGAUCAACACAAAACUUCAUCGACCGAUGCACCUGAAUGUGCUCUACAACUUUGCUAUUGGGAUUUUAUUUGCCUGCCAUUUGGAUGUUUUUAUUAGUUGCGGCGCGGUAGCACUGUAGCUCCAAAUCCUAAGUGUUACGACAUCUAGUAAACUUCUUUACGGCAAGGGGCUAGAAGCCAUCCAUGGCAACGCAACUCAGUAAUCUGAGACCGUAGGGUCUAGUUUUUAGACCGUACCUUCCAAAAUAGCUGUGCGUAAUACCACACCUGUUUAUGGCGUUGUCGCCGUUUUUAUUCCGUAGGUGAGAGUAUAAGCUUUCUAACGACGUAUAACAUGUCUGAUUUUGCUUUUGGACUAGCGUUUUAUAUGUGAGCGUAACCGAAAAUUUUAUUGUCAUCACAUUCACUUGAGUGUCUUUAAAUAGGUUAGUGGUAUUGCAUAAUAUGGAUAUUUCACACUGUAAGUGUUAGUAUUUCACAGAAGGUAAGCGUUAGUUAUUAGUAAUGUAAUAGUUUUUGUGACACCUACAACAGUGAGGAGUGUGUUGGAACAUUGCCAAAACGUGGUGGACGGUUGAAAAUAGUUUUCAUAUCGUCCCAUCUUCACACAAUGUUUCAUCUUAAGCCUUCAUGAGGGGUUCAUUUCAAUGCUUUACAAUGGACAAAAAGCAUUAUAUUACUUUUUGGAGAGAUUUUGGAUAUGAUAUCUGUCUGUGAAUGUGCAUGCUCUGCUAAGCUGUAAGCGAAUGAAAUGUGGGGAAAACCAGAGAUAUAGUCAGCUGCUACUCAGAGAAGUAUAACGAAAGCAUACUGGUAGAUGUAAAAUAAAGUGAAAGGCUACGGCGGGUAUCUGCGUAAAUGCGUGUGCAUUGCUUUCCACAAACGUAUGCCUUCCCUAUGAAUGCAACAAAUAAAAAUAUUGGAAUGAUGUUGAAGAAAAGAUAGUAUGCAGCAGCACAAACUAUAUAAUAGCUUCAUAGUUAGGCUAUAGGUUUUGCCAUCGCUUAGGACGACAACAAAUAACGUUGCAGAGGUGAGGACAUGCCAUAGCUAGGUAGCUAUGAGUGGAAUGGAGACGAUUUGAGGACAUCUAUAGGUGAAGUGUGUGAAGAUUAUUUCUCCAAUCAGCUUCUACCUUUUCCUAGUUUGAAAGUCAGUGGCCUCUGGGAAAAAUCCCAGCAUUCUCAGCGUCGAUAAAAGCCCAAGGCUUCCUGCCUGCCAUUUCACUUUUGGGUAGCUACUUAAGCAAGCGCCUUCGUUUGAGGUAGUUUUCCUUGUGAAACCAUUAUAUCUCUCGUCAUUGAAUUAAAAAGCAAAUAAUAAACAUUGAUAGUCAAAUUUAUAUUAAAACAUUUGUUUAUUAAGGCAAUUGGAAUCGACACGUUAACAAACGACCACAGUUUUAAUUGAAGACCAGCGUUGACAAACCAGGCCUGGGCCAUGGCAGGGUGUGGCUCACGUCAUAAAGUCCGCCAAUGGCCUGUUUCAGACAUCACUGGGCAUCAGCUCAAGACUGUGUUUCCUGACAAUUGUCACGCCAAUGAGAAAGAG